GGGGAUGUAGCUCAGUGGUAGUGUUUCCUUUGUCUGUAUGAAGUCCUGGCUUCAAUCCUCAGCAUCUCUA